rnacentral:rRNA from 1 species
AUGCACGCUGGCGGCGUGCCUAAUACAUGCAAGUCGAGCGAACAGACGAGGAGCUUGCUCCUCUGACGUUAGCGGCGGACGGGUGAGUAACACGUGGAUAACCUACCUAUAAGACUGGGAUAACUUCGGGAAACCGGAGCUAAUACCGGAUAAUAUAUUGAACCGCAUGGUUCAAUAGUGAAAGACGGUUUUGCUGUCACUUAUAGAUGGAUCCGCGCCGCAUUAGCUAGUUGGUAAGGUAACGGCUUACCAAGGCAACGAUGCGUAGCCGACCUGAGAGGGUGAUCGGCCACACUGGAACUGAGACACGGUCCAGACUCCUACGGGAGGCAGCAGUAGGGAAUCUUCCGCAAUGGGCGAAAGCCUGACGGAGCAACGCCGCGUGAGUGAUGAAGGUCUUCGGAUCGUAAAACUCUGUUACUAGGGAAGAACAAAUGUGUAAGUAACUAUGCACGUCUUGACGGUACCUAAUCAGAAAGCCACGGCUAACUACGUG